CCCCUAGAUGUUCUGGGCCGCACGCGCGCUACACUGAACAGUUCAACAAGUCUUAACCUUGGCCGAUAGGUCUGGGUAAUCUUUGAACGCUGUUCGUGAUUGGGAUCGACCUUUGCAAUUAUGGGUCUUCAACGAGGAAUUCCUAGUAAACGCAAGUCAUCAGCUUGCAUUGAUUACGUCCCUGCCCUUUGUACACACCGCCCGUCGCACCUACCGAUUGAAUGGUCCGGUGAAAUCUCGGGACGGCGGCUUGGUCGCUUGCGUCCGACUGCUGAAACUUGAUUAAACCAUAUCAUUUAGAGGAAGGUGAAGUCGUAACA
rnacentral:rRNA from 1 species